GGCUCAGACCGAACGCCGCCGGCGUGGAUAAGACAUGCAAGUCGAGCGCUGAUUCCGGGGUAGCAAUAUUCCGGAGUUGGAGCGGCGCAAGGGUGCGUAACACGUGGGUAAUCUGCCAUGAAGUUUGGAAUAACUUGCUGAAAGGCGAGCUAAUACCGGAUGUGAAAAUUGGGAGGCCUCUCCUGGUUUUUAAAGUUGGGGACCGUAAGGCCUGACGCUUCAUGAUGAGCCCGCGGCCUAUCAGCUAGUUGGUGAGGUAAUGGCUCACCAAGGCUAAGACGGGUAGCUGGUCUGAGAGGACGACCAGCCACACUGGAACUGAGACACGGUCCAGACACCUACGGGUGGCAGCAGUCGAGAAUUUUUCACAAUGGGCGCAAGCCUGAUGGAGCGACGCCGCGUGGGGGAUGAAUGGCUUCGGCCCGUAAACCCCUGUCAUUUGCGAUCAAACCUUGCUAUUUAAAAGAUGGCGAGCUGAUAGUAGCGAAAGAGGAAGGGACGGCUAACUCUGUGCCAGCAGCCGCGGUAAUACAGAGGUCCCAAGCGUUGUUCGGAUUCACUGGGCGUAAAGGGUGCGUAGGUGGCGAAGUAAGUCGGAUGUGAAAUCUCGGAGCUCAACUCCGAAACGGCAUUGGAAACUACUUUGCUUGAGGGUCGGAGGGGGGACUGGAAUUCUCGGUGUAGCAGUGAAAUGCGUAGAUAUCGAGAGGAACACCAGUGGCGAAGGCGAGUCCCUGGACGACUCCUGACACUGAGGCACGAAAGCUAGGGGAGCAAACAGGAUUAGAUACCCUGGUAGUCCUAGCUGUAAACGGUGCACGUUUGCUGUAAAAGGAAUCGACCCCUUUUGUGGCGUAGCCAACGCGUUAAACGUGCCGCCUGGGAAGUACG
rnacentral:rRNA from 1 species